AGAGCCCCUUGAUGCGUGUUCAGAUUUGACAAAUGAAGUUGAAAAAGCUUCAAAUAUUACUUCCCCAUAUGUUUUAAUUAUAAGAGGAGGGUGUAGCUUUGAGGAUAAAGUUAGAAGAGCACAGAAGGCUGGGUUCAAAGCUGCAAUUGUGUAUAACAAUGAAGAUGAUGGCAUCUUGGUUUCAAUGGCAGGGACUUCAACUGGUAUAAAAAUACAUGCUGUAU
rnacentral:misc_RNA from 1 species